rnacentral:rRNA from 1 species
AUUGAACGCUGGCGGCAGGCUUAACACAUGCAAGUCGAGCGGGGUGAUGGUGCUUGCACUAUCACUUAGCGGCGGACGGGUGAGUAAUGCUUAGGAAUCUGCCUAUUAGUGGGGGACAACAUCUCGAAAGGGAUGCUAAUACCGCAUACGUCCUACGGGAGAAAGCAGGGGAUCACUUGUGACCUUGCGCUAAUAGAUGAGCCUAAGUCGGAUUAGCUAGUUGGUGGGGUAAAGGCCUACCAAGGCGACGAUCUGUAGCGGGUCUGAGAGGAUGAUCCGCCACACUGGGACUGGAACACGGCCCAGACUCCUGCGGGAGGCAGCAGUGGGGAAUAUUGGACAAUGGGGGGAACCCUGAUCCGGCCAUGCCGCGUGUGUGAAGAAGGCCUUAUGGUUGUAAAGCACUUUAAGCGAGGAGGAGGCUCUUUUGGUUAAUACCCAAGAUGAGUGGACGUUACUCGCAGAAUAAGCACCGGCUAACUCUGUGCCAGCCGCCGCAGUAA